AGGACGAACGCUGGCGGCGCGCUUCAAGCAUGCAAGUCGAACGAGAUACCCGGGCUUGCCCGGGUGGAGAGUGGCGAACGGGUGAGUAACACGUGAGGAACCUGCCCCGAAGACCGGGAUAACGCCGGGAAACUGGUGCUAAUACCGGAUGCCCUCGCCGGAUCGCAUGGUCUGGCGAAGAAAUGGAUUCCGCUUCGGGAUGGCCUCGCGGCCUAUCAGCUUGUUGGUGGGGUAACGGCCCACCAAGGCAGCGACGGGUAGCUGGUCUGAGAGGAUGUCCAGCCACACUGGGACUGAGACACGGCCCAGACUCCUACGGGAGGCAGCAGCUAGGAAUCUUGCGCAAUGGACGAAAGUCUGACGCAGCGACGCCGCGUGCGGGAUGAAGGCCUUAGGGUCGUAAACCGCUUUCAGCAGGGACGAAAUUGACGGUACCUGCAGAAGAAGCCCGGCAACUACGUGCCAGCAGCCGC
rnacentral:rRNA from 1 species